GCAAGGCAACAAGAUAAGACUUAUCGAGAAAGGGGUAUUUGUUGAUGCUGUAAAUCUUGAAUACCUAAACAUGUCAUUGAAUGCAAUUCAAGCAAUCGAACCAGGGUCGUUUAAUCAUUCGAAAAAUAUUAUGGAAAAUUUAGACUUGAGUGUGAACGUCAUUAACGUGCUGAAGAGAAACACCUUCAUUGGAGCUGUAUGGCUAAAGCAUCUUGAUUUGUCACAAAAUCGCAUCGAAAUCAUGGAAGCAGGAACUUUCACAGGACUGCAGUCACUGACAAUACUGUAACCUUCAUGAUUAAGAAUAUGUAUUUUUAGAAUUGAUAAAAGGGUAAAUUAUACACUGUGAAAA